rnacentral:rRNA from 1 species
CAGUCGAACGCGUCUUGGUUAUUGAUGUUGGAUGCUUGCAUUUAACUGAUUUAACAUUGAGACGAGUGGCGAACUGGUGAGUAACACGUGGGUAACCUGCCCUUGAAGUAGGGGAUAACACUUGGAAACAGGUGCUAAUACCGUAUAACAACCAAAACCACCUGGUUUUGGUUUAAAAGAUGGCUUCGGCUAUCACUUUAGGAUGGACCCGCGGCGUAUUAGCUUGUUGGUAAGGUAACGGCCUACCAAGGCAAUGAUACGUAGCCGACCUGAGAGGGUAAUCGGCCACAUUGGGACUGAGACACGGCCCAAACUCCUACGGGAGGCAGCAGUAGGGAAUCUUCCACAAUGGACGAAAGUCUGAUGGAGCAACGCCGCGUGAGUGAUGAAGGGUUUCGGCUCGUAAAACUCUGUUGUUGGAGAAGAACAGGUGUGAGAGUAACUGUUCACAUCUUGACGGUAUCCAACCAGAAAGCCACGGCUAACUACGUGCCAGCAGCCGCGGUAAUACGUAGGUGGCAAGCGUUGUCCGGAUUUAUUGGGCGUAAAGCGAGCGCAGGCGGUUUCUUAGGUCUGAUGUGAAAGCCUUCGGCUUAACCGGAGAAGUGCAUCGGAAACCAGGAGACUUGAGUGCAGAAGAGGACAGUGGAACUCUAUGUGUAGCGGUGAAAUGCGUAGAUAUAUGGAAGAACACCAGUGGCGAAGGCGGCUGUCUGGUCUGUAACUGACGCUGAGGCUCGAAAGCAUGGGUAGCGAACAGGAUUAGAUACCCUGGUAGUC